GACGAACGCUGGCGGCGUGCUUAACACAUGCAAGUCGAACGAAGUGGCGAACGGGUGAGUAACGCGUAAUAAACCUGCCCUUCAGAGGGGGACAACAGUUGGAAACGACUGCUAAUACCGCAUACUGAAGGCGGGGAUUGCGUCUGAUUAGCUAGUUGGAGGGGUAACGGCCUACCAAGGCGAUGAUCAGUAGCCGGGCGUGGCGGAUGAACCGCCAGAUUGGGACUGAGACACGGCACAGACGCCUACGGGAGGCAGCAGUUGGGAAUCGUCCGCAAUGGACGAAAGUCUGACGGAGCAACGCCGCGGGAGUUAUGACGGCCUUUGGGUUGUAAAGCUCUGUUAAUCGGGACGCGGUACCGGAAGAGAAAGCCACGGCUAACUACGUGCCAGCAGCCGCGGUAAUAC
rnacentral:rRNA from 1 species